UGAUCACUACUACUGAUGAAUAUGGUAUAAGAUUCUUUCUGAUGUCGAGUAGCCACACAGUGUGUCUGACCUCUAUAGGUAGUCCACUCGAAGCCCCGAACAGAUCAUACUUCUCGAGAGUGCUAGCUCGCAUCGAAGGCUCUAGAUGAUUGAUGGAGACUCCUUUCUUCAGAUUGAAUGGACAUCUCUAGAUUAGAAGUUGGAGCUUUUUGAGGAGG
rnacentral:lncRNA from 1 species